rnacentral:rRNA from 1 species
UUAAGUGACUAAGCGUACAAGGUGGAUGCCUUGGCAAUCAGAGGCGAUGAAGGACGUGCUAAUCUGCGAAAAGCUUGGAUGAGUCGAUAAGAGGCGUUUAAUCCAAGAUGUCCGAAUGGGGAAACCCAGUAGAUGAAGAAUCUACUAUCACUUACUGAAUCCAUAGGUAAGUGAGGCAAACCGGGAGAACUGAAACAUCUAAGUACCCCGAGGAAAAGAAAUCAACCGAGAUUUCGUUAGUAGCGGCGAGCGAACGCGAAGGAGCCUGUUAGUGAUAAUGACAGAGACAGAGGAACAAGCUGGGAAGCUUGGCGAUACAGGGUGAUAGCCCCGUACUCGAAGUCCAGGUCAUGGUACUAAGCUAACGACAAGUAGGGCGGGACACGUGAUAUCCUGUUUGAAGAUGGGGGGACCAUCCUCCAAGGCUAAAUACUCCUGAUUGACCGAUAGUGAACCAGUACUGUGAAGGAAAGGCGAAAAGAACCCCGGUGAGGGGAGUGAAAUAGAACCUGAAACCUUGUACGUACAAGCAGUGGGAGCCCUUUAAGGGUGACUGCGUACCUUUUGUAUAAUGGGUCAGCGACUUAUAUUUUGUAGCGAGGUUAACCGAAUAGGGGAGCCGAAGGGAAACCGAGUCUUAACUGGGCGUCUAGUUGCAAGGUAUAGACCCGAAACCCGGUGAUCUAGCCAUGGGCAGGUUGAAGGUUGGGUAACACUAACUGGAGGACCGAACCGACUAAUGUUGAAAAAUUAGCGGAUGACUUGUGGCUGGGGGUGAAAGGCCAAUCAAACCGGGAGAUAGCUGGUUCUCCCCGAAAUCUAUUUAGGUAGAGCCUUGAGCGGACACCUUCGGGGGUAGAGCACUGUUUCGGCUAGGGGUCCAUCCCGGAUUACCAACCCGAUGCAAACUACGAAUACCGAAGAGUGAUACUCAGGAGACACACGGCGGGUGCUAACGUCCGUCGUGGAGAGGGAAACAACCCAGACCGCCAGCUAAGGUCCCAAAGUCUAUAUUAAGUGGGAAACGAAGUGGGAAGGCUUAGACAGCUAGGAUGUUGGCUUAGAAGCAGCCAUCAUUUAAAGAAAGCGUAAUAGCUCACUAGUCGAGUCGGCCUGCGCGGAAGAUGUAACGGGGCUCAAAUAUAGCACCGAAGCUGCGGCAUCAGUAGCAAUACUGUUGGGUAGGGGAGCGUUCUGUAAGCGGAUGAAGAUGGCUCGAGAGGGCUGUUGGACGUAUCAGAAGUGCGAAUGCUGACAUAAGUAACGAUAAAACGGGUGAAAAACCCGUUCGCCGGAAGACCAAGGGUUCCUGUCCAACGUUAAUCGGGGCAGGGUGAGUCGGCCCCUAAGGCGAGGCUGAAAAGCGUAGUCGAUGGGAAACGGGUUAAUAUUCCCGUACUUGGAUAAACUGCGAUGUGGGGACGGAGCAGGUUAGGUUAUCGCACUGUUGGAUAUGUGCGUUUAAGUUGGUAGGUGUGAAGUUUAGGCAAAUCCGGACUUCUUUAACACCGAGAGAUGAUGACGAGGCUCUACGGAGCUGAAGUAACCGAUACCACACUUCCAGGAAAAGCCACUAAGCUUCAGGUUUAUCUAAACCGUACUGAAAACCGACACAGGUGGUCAGGUAGAGAAUACUCAGGCGCUUGAGAGAACUCGGGUGAAGGAACUAGGCAAAAUAGCACCGUAACUUCGGGAGAAGGUGCGCCGGCGUAGAUUGUAGUCCCUAGCGGGCGAAGGUUGAACCGGUCGAAGAUACCAGCUGGCUGCAACUGUUUAUUAAAAACACAGCACUCUGCAAACACGAAAGUGGACGUAUAGGGUGUGAUGCCUGCCCGGUGCUGGAAGGUUAAUUGAUGGUGUAAUCGAAAGAGAAGCUCCUGAUCGAAGCCCCAGUAAACGGCGGCCGUAACUAUAACGGUCCUAAGGUAGCGAAAUUCCUUGUCGGGUAAGUUCCGACCUG